AUGCCUGCAACGACAAGAGCCCCCCCCUCCCUGCCCCAUUGCGGGGCCUCACCGCCGCUCCUUUUUGGGGCCGUUUCCUCCGAUUCGAUGAAUUCCGCCUCCAGCCUCACCACGCUCCGGCUGCUUCGCCUCAUUGCCUUCCAUUCCUUCUUUUUUCCUCUCUGCUUUCCACAUCUUCUCUUCUCUGGGCCCUAUUCUUCCUCUCUCUUCACCGAAUUUCCUCUUUUCUUCCCCAAUUUACACCUCCGUUCGCGCUGUCGCCACUCCUCGCUGCGCCGCCUCUCAUCUCUUCUAGUUGUUGCUUUUCUCUCUUCCUCUCUUCUCUUCUCCUCUAUUUUCUCUUAUCCUGAUUUCCCUCUUCUAUUUUCUAUCUUCUUUUUUUUUCCUAUCUUCUUUUUUCUCUCCUAUUUUCUAUCUUCUUUUUUUUUUCCUAUCUUCUUUUCCUUUUCCUAUUUUCUAUCUUCUUUUCCUUUUCCUAUUUUCUAUCUUCUUUUCCUUUUCCUAUUUUCUAUCUUCUUUUCCUUUUCCUAUUUUCUAUCUUCUUUUCCUUUUCCUAUUUUCUAUCUUCUUUUCCUUUUCCUAUUUUCUAUCUUCUUUUCCUUUUCCUAUUUUCUAUCUUCUUUUCCUUUUCCUAUUUUCUAUCUUCUUUUCCUUUUCCUAUUUUCUAUCUUCUUUUCCUUUUCCUAUUUUCUAUCUUCUUUUCCUUUUCCUAUUUUCUAUCUUCUUUUCCUUUUCCUAUUUUCUAUCUUCUUUUCCUUUUCCUAUUUUCUAUCUUCUUUUCCUUUUCCUAUUUUCUAUCUUCUUUUCCUUUUCCUAUUUUCUAUCUUCUUUUCCUUUUCCUAUUUUCUAUCUUCUUUUCCUUUUCCUAUUUUCUAUCUUCUUUUCCUUUUCCUAUUUUCUAUCUUCUUUUCCUUUUCCUAUUUUCUAUCUUCUUUUCCUUUUCCUAUUUUCUAUCUUCUUUUCCUUUUCCUAUUUUCUAUCUUCUUUUCCUUUUCCUAUUUUCUAUCUUCUUUUCCUUUUCCUAUUUUCUAUCUUCUUUUCCUUUUCCUAUUUUCUAUCUUCUUUUCCUUUUCCUAUUUUCUAUCUUCUUUUCCUUUUCCUAUUUUCUAUCUUCUUUUCCUUUUCCUAUUUUCUAUCUUCUUUUCCUUUUCCUAUUUUCUAUCUUCUUUUCCUUUUCCUAUUUUCUAUCUUCUUUUCCUUUUCCUAUUUUCUAUCUUCUUUUCCUUUUCCUAUUUUCUAUCUUCUUUUCCUUUUCCUAUUUUCUAUCUUCUUUUCCUUUUCCUAUUUUCUAUCUUCUUUUCCUUUUCCUAUUUUCUAUCUUCUUUUCCUUUUCCUAUUUUCUAUCUUCUUUUCCUUUUCCUAUUUUCUAUCUUCUUUUCCUUUUCCUAUUUUCUAUCUUCUUUUCCUUUUCCUAUUUUCUAUCUUCUUUUCCUUUUCCUAUUUUCUAUCUUUUUUCCUUUUUCUAUUUUUUCAACUUCCUCUAUUCUUCCUCUUCUUUACUUUCUAUUCUUCUCUUUUUUCUCUCCUUUUUUUUUUUCAAUUUUCUACUUUUUCUAUUUUCUAAUCUUCUGUUUUCUCUUCAAUUUUCUCCCUUUUUCCUUCUAUCAUUUUCUAAUCUUCCAUUUUAUCUUCUAUAAUUUUCUAUUUUCUUGUUUCUAUUUUCUGCUCUUCUCUGUUUUUCUAUUUUCUCUUCCAUUUCUACUUUUUUCUACUAUUUCCUAUUUUUUCUCUUUUUCUAUUAAUUUCUAUUUUUCUUUUUCUCCAUUAUUUUCUCCUCUGAUUUUUUUUUCUUUCCUAUUACGUUCUCCUCUUUUUUUCCAUCAUUUUCUCCUCCCUUUCGCCAUUCUUUCCUCUUUUUCCACUUCCUCCUGA
ensembl:lncRNA